rnacentral:rRNA from 1 species
AGCAGCCGCGGUAAUUCCAGCUCCAAUAGCGUAUAUUAAAGUUGUUGCAGUUAAAAAGCUCGUAGUUGAAUUUCGAGAUCAAUAUGUUGGUCGUGCCUCGGUACGUACUUGCAUAAUUGAUUUCUCCCUUCUGAUGAACCAUGAUGCCAUUAAUUUGGUGUUGUGGGGAAUCAGGACUGUUACUUUGAAAAAAUUAGAGUGUUUAAAGCAGGCUCACGCUUGAAUACAUUAGCAUGGAAUAAUGAAAUAGGACGUUUGAUUCUAUUUUGUUGGUUUCUAGGAUCGACGUAAUGAUUAAUAGGGAUAGUUGGGGGCGUCCGUAUUCAAUUGUCAGAGGUGAAAUUCUUGGAUUUAUUGAAGACGAACUACUGCGAAAGCAUUCGCCAAGGAUGUUUUCAUUAAUCAGUGAACGAAAGUUAGGGGAUCGAAGACGAUCAGAUACCGUCGUAGUCUUAACCAUAAACUAUGCCGACUAGGGAUCGGACGGUGGUUUUUUAUGCCCCGUUCGGCACCUUACGGG